CAGCAGACACAUUCCAGCCAAUUAGCAGCAGACCCUCCCUCCCAGACCCUCCUACCUCCUGGACAGAGUCCAUUGUGAAGCUGCAUUCUUAGAGAGCUGUCCAGGAGGUGGGAGGGUCUGGGAGGGAGGGUCUGCUGCUGAUUGGCUGGAAUGUGUCUGCUG